AUACGGAGGGUGCGAGCGUUAAUCGGAAUUACUGGGCGUAAAGCGCGCGUAGGCGGUUUGGUCAGUCGGAUGUGAAAGCCCCGGGCUCAACCUGGGAACUGCAUUUGAUACUGCCGGACUGGAGUAUGGUAGAGGGAAGUGGAAUUCCACAUGUAGCGGUGAAAUGCGUAGAUAUGUGGAGGAACACCAGUGGCGAAGGCGGCUUCCUGGACCAAUACUGACGCUGAGGUGCGAAAGCGUGGGGAGCAAACAGAAUUAGAAACCCCAGUAGUCC
rnacentral:rRNA from 1 species